UUGGAGGGCAAGUCUGGUGCCAGCAGCCGCGGUAAUUCCAGCUCCAAUAGCGUAUAUUAAAGUUGUUGCAGUUAAAAAGCUCGUAGUUGAACCUUGGGUCUGGCUGGCCGGUCCGCCUCACCGCGAGUACUGGUCCGGCUGGACCUUUCCUUCUGGGGAAUCUCAUGGCCUUCACUGGCUGUGGGGGGAACCAGGACUUUUACUGUGAAAAAAUUAGAGUGCUCAAAGCAGGCCUUUGCUCGAAUACAUUAGCAUGGAAUAAUAGAAUAGG
rnacentral:rRNA from 1 species